rnacentral:rRNA from 1 species
UGGGUCCUACGGGACGCAGCAGUGGGGAAUAUUGCACAAUGGGGGGAACCCUGAUGCAGCGACGCCGCGUGGGUGAAGGAGUAUUUCGGUAUGUAAAGCCCUAUCAGCAGGGAAGAACAAUGACGGUACCUGACUAAGAAGCACCGGCUAAAUACGUGCCAGCAGCCGCGGUAAUACGUAUGGUGCAAGCGUUAUCCGGAUUUACUGGGUGUAAAGGGAGCGCAGGCGGCGCGUUAAGCCUGGUGUGAAAGCCGGCGGCCCAACCGCGGGACUGCAUUGGGAACUGGCGCGGUGGAGUGCGGGAG